AACCUCGACUUACGAGUGACCCAACUUACGAAUUUUUCAAAAUACGAGCUGUCACUUGGUCGAUUUUUUGCUUUGUGAUACGAGCCGAGAUCUGAGUUACGAGCUCAGCUGAGUUCAGUUCACCUGGUUAUCUUGCCGUACAAGCAAGUAAAAAAGAGGAAAAUGUGACGAAAAAGCCAAAAGUCGGUGAAGAAUAAGAUUAAGUGAAGUAAAAAAAUUAUAUAGAACGUUAUGGCUGUAGAUUAUAGCGCGGGUUGCUUACUGAACGGUAGCAACUGGUGUAAUGACGCUCGUGGCUUUGUCUCGCGAUAGGUAAACAAGAGUAGCGGGCGGUGUUCACAUCCAAACAGGACGUAUACCAAGUUGGACUUAUACCACUGUAUAUUGUAACAUUAAGUGUGUAGCGAGUAAGUUAAGUGAUAGAGCACGAAAUGAAACACUCCCCCAACUUCCUCUGCCAAUCUCCACCUCCGCCAGCAUCUUCGUCUUAUUUUCAAGCGAGUCUCUCGCUGGCUGGCGGAGGUCAUUGGGAUGGCCUACACGACAUCCAACCGUCCCGUACCCGCUUGGUCAUCUGGUCACUCUGUCAGGAGAGUUUCCACAUCUUGGGCCACCUUAAGAGGGGUCCCCAUUGCGGAGGUUUGUGCGGCAGCCACUUGGUCUUCGCCAUGUACCUUUUCACGUUUUUACAACGUGAACGUCGCAGCUUGAUCUAGCUUGGCACCGGCUGUCCUGGCUCUUUCCACGAGUAGAUGUUGAAGUACUCCUCGUGACGGCGUGGGCAUAAAUCAUCCACUACUUACAUUACAAAAUCAAAACAAAAACAUGGAUAACUCAGCAAAAGACUACUGUAUUUGGCAUUUGAUGACCUGAUGGACCCAAGUUCAACAUCGCAAAACGAAAAUGAAGCAAGACACGUUGAAGGAGCGAGGAGGGUAGCAGUGUUUAUACUACCAUGCAGAAAUGGUCAAGAAUCCAUGCAGUACAGGUGCAGCAGAUGGAAACUGGGUUAAAACGCCACUCAUCAGAAACUUUCAAGACAACUCAAACCCCUUGCAUGGCUGCUACAGGCAACACAUAUGAUGUCUGCAUUCACCUAGAAACAAAAACAGCAAGAUUUACAAUACAGAAAAGGUGCACUGUAGAAAUUCUACAAGUAGUAGAAGGAAGUGUCCUUAUAACUGUGUGCAUUAGUGUGUGUGCACUGCUGCAACAAAACACUUCAUCUGGAAAAUACACUUUGUAUUACUUAUAUUUAACUUUCAACUAAAUGUCUUAAGAUUCAAAUGAGGUUUAAGUUUUUGAGAAAUGUAACAUCGACAAAAAAGCCUGUGCUUCCCUCCAGCUAAAAGAAAGCAGUGUAAACUCACUUCCACUGCAUAAGCUUAAUAAAGCACCUGAACUAAG